ensembl:lncRNA
AAGGGGCUCAUUUACCCAGCACUCCCAGGGCAGGGGGAGCAGCUCCCCCACAGUCCCUGCCCUGUCCCCCACACAGCUCUGCCUGGACAGUACAAAACAAAAUCCAAAGGGAACACGUUCUGUGCCACUGUUCCUAGGUGGACACUCCAUCCUUCCCACCUGCAGUGGCUGCUGGGGUCACUUCCUCACAAAGGUUUGUGUUCAAAGCAGUCCAGGCUGGCCAGGACUGGGAGCUGGUGUGGGGCAGAGCCACGGCCUCAGGGCCACCAGGAGCUCCCUUCAGUGGCCACAGGAAGGGACAGUCCCUGCCAUCCCCAGCCUCUCCCUGAGCCUCAGGGCUGUUUCAGGGGAGACUGCUCAGCCAGAAGGCUCGGCCAGUGCCACCUGCCCUGCUCUGACCCCACACAGACAAACUGCUGCCUUCUCCUUCUCCCUUGGGGAAAAUCACCCAUGGAGGAGCAGGAGGACAAGAGCAGCACGACAACAUGCAGCUCACGGGCUGUCCAAACCAAAUCCAAUCCUGAGGGCGUUGCACAACAUGCAGAAACAACCAUGCUUCUGAAAAGGGUGUCACAUUCAAGCAUUGACUUUCACACAUCACCUGAGCUGUGACAUUGCUGUAAAUGCCAUGUGGCUCUGCAUCAGCUUCCAGUACCCCAGAGUGCAGCCUCCAUGUUCACAUAUUCCUCUAUCAUACAUCACUGUGUCUUAAGAUAUACCUCUCUCUGUAUAUCUGCUUAGGCUGAUACUUGUUCCUGAUAAGCAGUCGCUAUGUUUUAUAUCCUCUUAUAAAGAAAAACAAAUCUUUUUUUGUAAGUAUGUUUAAAAAACAAAAAUGCAAAGUGGAAGUGUUUGCUGAAUCUCCUUCAGCUCCUUUUAAACUAUGUAAUAAUGUACAGAGAAAGUUGUUGGUGUUCAAAGAAAUGAUGUGGCUGUGCAAUUUAUGUACAUUUGCAAUUAGAAAUAUUAAAGAUUUAUUUAGAUAUUUUACAUAAGUGCUCCAGCACCUCUACUCAGUCAUUUCCAGCUUUUAGAGCAUCCUGGCACAUGCCACAUGCACACACAAACCUGUCUUAUCUGCCUCCCCAAAGAGAUCACUGAAAUUUGCUCCCAGUAGAAUUUUAGCCCUGACUCCACCACUUUCCCUUCACUUGCUUGGGGGGUGUGACAGCCAGGCCUGCUCCUGUCCCCACCAGUCCUUACAAACCACCCUUCUGCCUCCAGUAAAAGAAAACUUGGAGGAAAGUCAUUAAAACCCUGGGCAGCAUCAGCACCUCUGCCUCAUUAACAUAAUCUUAAUUAGCUCCUCCAGGAGAGGUGGAAGUCAGGCUGGCUGCAUCGAAAUGAGUGGGGAUGUGGAGAGCACCUGUGGCUGUUCCUGUGCUCACAGGGCUGGAGCCGGGCUGGGCACACUGGGCUCCUCCUGUUCCUGUCAGGAACCGGCCCCUGCCCAGGGAGGGAAGCCAAAAUCCUCUCCCCAGGGCUCUGCCAUCCCCCUCAACACUGUUGGUUUUGAAGGCUGAGAGAAAGAAAAAUGCAGCCCUGGAAACACACAGAACCUCUGAGAACGCUGCAAGGAGGGAUUAGUCAAAACCACCUUGACUUGAAUAAAACCUCCUUAGCGGCUGUUGGGCUUCA